rnacentral:rRNA from 1 species
UGGGUAAUCUUUGAACGUGAAUCGUGCUGGGGAUAGAUGAUUGCAAUUAUUCAUCUUCAGCGAGGAAUUCCUAGUAAACGCAAGUCAUCAGCUUGCAUUGAUUACGUCCCUGCCCUUUGUACACACCGCCCGUCGCACCUACCGAUUGAAUGGUCCGGUGAAAUCUUCGGAUCUGAGAGAUGUUGGAUUAAUUUCUGACGCCUUUUGGAAAAGUCGCUUAAACCUUAUCAUUUAGAGGAAGGUGAAGUCGUAACAAGGUUUCCGUAGGUGAACCUGCGGAAGGAUCAUUA